rnacentral:tRNA from 1 species
GAGGGUAGAGCUCAGUGGUAGAGUGCUGCGUGCUUAGCAUGCACGAGGUCCUGGGUUCAAUUCCCAGUACGUCCA